GUGGGGAAUAUUGGACAAUGGGCGAAAGCCUGAUCCAGCCAUGUCGCGUGUGUGAAGAAGGUCUUCGGAUUGUAAAGCACUUUAAGUUGGGAGGAAGGGCAGUAAGUUAAUACCUUGCUGUUUUGACGUUACCGACAGAAUAAGCACCGGCUAACUUCGUGCAAGCAGCCGCGGUAAUACGAAGGGUGCAAGCGUUAAUCGGAAUUACUGGCGUAAAGCGCGCGUAGGUGGUUUGGUAAGUUGGAGGUGAAAUCCCCGGGCUCAACCUGGGAACUGCCUCCAAAACUGCAUGACUAGAGUACGGUAGAGGGUAGUGGAAUUUCCUGUGUAGCGGUGAAAUGCGUAGAUAUAGGAAGGAACACCAGUGGCGAAGGCGACUACCUGGACUGAUACUGACACUGAGGUGCGAAAGCGUGGGGAGCAAACAGGAUUAGAAACCCUGGUAGUCC
rnacentral:rRNA from 1 species